rnacentral:rRNA from 1 species
GAAACGUCAGCUAAGACCGCAUAGGUGUAGAGAUCGCAUGAACUCUAUAUGAAAAGUGCUACGGGACUGGUAGAUGAUGGACUUAUGGCGCAUUAGCUGGUUGGUAGGGUAACGGCCUACCAAGGCGACGAUGCGUAGCCGACCUGAGAGGGUGACCGGCCACACUGGGACUGAGACACGGCCCAGACUCCUACGGGAGGCAGCAGUAGGGAAUUUUCGGCAAUGGGGGAAACCCUGACCGAGCAACGCCGCGUGAAGGAAGAAGUAAUUCGUUAUGUAAACUUCUGUCAUAGAGGAAGAACGGUGGAUAUAGGGAAUGAUAUCCAAGUGACAGUACUCUAUAAGAAAGCCACGGCUAACUACGUGCCAGCAGCCGCGGUAAUACGUAGGUGGCGAGCGUUAUCCGGAAUUAUUGGGCGUAAAGAGGGAGCAGGCGGCACUAAGGGUCUGUGGUGAAAGAUCGAAGCUUAACUUCGGUAAGCCAUGGAAACCGUAGAGCUAGAGUGUGUGAGAGGAUCGUGGAAUUCCAUGUGUAGCGGUGAAAUGCGUAGAUAUAUGGAGGAACACCAGUGGCGAAGGUGACGAUCUGGCGCAUAACUGACGCUCAGUCCCGAAAGCGUGGGGAGCAAAUAGGAUUAGAUACCCUAGUAGUCCACGCCGUAAACGAUGAGUACUAAGUGUUGGGAGUCAAAUCUCAGUG